UCUCUCUUUAUCAGCGCAUAUGCUAACACUGGAACAAUACAGAGAUUAACAAGGCUCCUGGGCAGGGAUAACAUGUACCUUUGUCAAAUGUUCCAUAUUUUA